AUUGAACGCUGGCGGCAGGCCUAACACAUGCAAGUCGAACGGUAACAGGAAGAAGCUUGCUUCUUUGCUGACGAGUGGCGGACGGGUGAGUAAUGUCUGGGAAACUGCCUGAUGGAGGGGGAUAACUACUGGAAACGGUAGCUAAUAACGCAUAACGUCGCAAGACCAAAGAGGGGGAACUUCGGGCCUCUUGCCAUCGGAUGUGCCCAGAUGGGAUUAGCUAGUAGGUGGGGUAACGGCUCACCUAGGCGACGAUCCCUAGCUGGUCUGAGAGGAUGACCAGCCACACUGGAACUGAGACACGGUCCAGACUCCUACGGGAGGCAGCAGUGGAGAAUAUUGCACAAUGGGCGCGAGCCUGAUGCAGCCAUGCCGCGUGGAUGAAGAAGGCCUUCGGGUUGUAAAGUACUUUCAGCGGGGAGGAAGGGAGUAAAGUUAAUACCUUUGCUCAUUGACGUUACCCGCAGAAGAAGCACCGGCUAACUCCGUG
rnacentral:rRNA from 1 species